UACGGGGGGGGCAAGCGUUGUUCGGAAUUACUGGGCGUAAAGGGCGCGUAGGCGGCCACCGCAAGUCGACUGUGAAAUCUCCGGGCUUAACCCGGAAAGGUCAGCCGAUACUGCGGGGCUAGAGUGCAGAAGGGGCAACUGGAAUUCUCGGUGUAGCGGUGAAAUGCGUAGAUAUUCGGAAGAACACCAGUGGCGAAGGCGGCUGACUGGACAUGUAUUGACGCUGAGGUGCGAAAGCGUGGGGAGCAAACAGG
rnacentral:rRNA from 1 species